rnacentral:tRNA from 1 species
GGAAGGGUGCCAGAGUGGUUGAAUGGGCGUCCCUGGAAAGGACGUGUGCUAGAAAUGGUACCGAGGGUUCGAAUCCCUCCCCUUCCG